GAUGAACGCUGGCGGCGUGCUUAACACAUGCAAGUCGAACGGGAAUUACUUUAUUGAAACUUCGGUCGGUUUAAUUUAAUUCUAGUUGCGGCCGGGGGAGUAACGCGUGGAUAUUCUGCCUUAUUCAGGGGGAUAACAGUCAUAAAUGGCUGCUAAUACCGCAUAAGCGCGCAGAGCGGCAUGUCUCGGUGGGAAAAACUGCGGUGGUAUAAGAUGGACCCGCGUUGGAUUAGCUUGUUGGUGGGGUAACGGCCGACCAAGGCGACGAUCCAUAGCCGGCAUGAGAGGGUGAACGGCCACAUUGGGACUGAGACACGGCCCAGAAUCCUACGGGAGGCAGCAGUGGGGAAUAUUGCACAAUGGGGGAAAACCUGAUGCAGCGACGCCGCGUGAAGGAAGAAGUAUCUCGGUAUGUAAACUUCUAUCAGCAGGGAAGAUAGUGACGGUACCUGACUAAGAAGCCCCGGCUAACUACGUG
rnacentral:rRNA from 1 species